UACGUAGGGGGCUAGCGUUGUCCGGAAUCAUUGGGCGUAAAGCGCGCGUAGGCGGCCCGGUAAGUCCGCUGUAAAAGUCCAGGGCUCAACCCUGGAACGCCGGUGGAUACUGUCGGGCUAGAGUCCGGAAGAGGCGAGUGGAAUUCUCGGUGUAGCGGUGAAAUGCGUAGAUGUCGAGAGGAACACCUGCGGCGAAGGCGGGUUGCUGGGCUGAUACUGACGCUGAGGCGCGAAAGCUAGGGGAGCGAACGGG
rnacentral:rRNA from 1 species